AUUGAACGCUGGCGGCAUGCUUUACACAUGCAAGUCGAACGGUAACAGGCCGCAAGGUGCUGACGAGUGGCGAACGGGUGAGUAGUGCAUCGGAACGUGCCCAGUCGUGGGGGAUAACGCAGCGAAAGCUGCGCUAAUACCGCAUACGAUCUAUGGAUGAAAGCGGGGGACCGUAAGGCCUCGCGCGAUUGGAGCGGCCGAUGUCAGAUUAGGUAGGUGGUGGGGUAAAGGCUCACCAAGCCAACGAUCUGUAGCUGGUCUGAGAGGACGACCAGCCACACUGGGACUGAGACACGGCCCAGACUCCUACGGGAGGCAGCAGUGGGGAAUUUUGGACAAUGGGCGCAAGCCUGAUCCAGCAAUGCCGCGUGCAGGAAGAAGGCCUUCGGGUUGUAAACUGCUUUUGUACGGAACGAAACGGUCCUGGUUAAUACCUGGGGCUAAUGACGGUACCGUAAGAAUAAGCACCGGCUAACUACGUGCCAGCCGCCGCGGUAAUAC
rnacentral:rRNA from 1 species